rnacentral:tRNA from 1 species
UCCCUGGUGGUCCAGUGGUUAGCACUUGGUGCUUUCAAGGCUAAGGAUCAGGGUUCAAUCCCUGGUCUGGGAA